CCGAGGUGGCAAAUUCUGAUAAGAACUCUGAACUUUGUUUGGCCGCCUCUCACAAAUCGCUUGGUCUCGGUUUUCGUAUUACAUUCCCCGAAUCGUUUUGUCUGUCGAAACCCACUAUUCCGGCUCCGUAUUCCUUUUUGGGACCGAUUCGAUUUGAUUCAAUUCCAUGCAGUUCAAUUCAUUUCUAUCUUUAACGUGACGUUCUCUCUCUUAUUUCAUCAUCUUCCGUGAAGAACCAAAGCCAAAGUUGAAGAGAAUUAAAUUAAAGACUGAAAAGUGAAACCCCCAAUUUUUCUAGGGUUUGAGAGGUUCAUUAUUUUGUUUUCGUGUGGAAUUCUACAUGGGUGAAUAUGAAGAGAUUGGAGCUGAUAUUUGCUCGGAUAUUGAAGUUGAUGAUAUAAGGUGUGGAAAUAUAGCGGAAAAAGAUGUCAGUGAUGAGGAGAUUGAAGCAGAAGAAUUGGAAAGGCGGAUGUGGAAGGACCGAAUCAAACUUAAAAGGAUCAAGGAAAAAGAGAAGCUUGCGGCGUUACAAGCUGCAGAGAAGCAAAAACCUAAGCAGACAACUGAUCAGGCUCGGAGGAAGAAAAUGUCUAGAGCCCAAGAUGGAAUUCUUAAGUAUAUGUUGAAGUUAAUGGAAGUGUGCCAAGCACGUGGGUUUGUCUACGGGAUCAUUCCUGAGAAGGGUAAGCCCAUGACCGGUUCGUCUGAUAAUAUUAGAGCUUGGUGGAAAGAAAAGGUAAAGUUUGAUAAGAAUGGCCCUGCUGCCAUAGCAAAGUAUGAAGCAGAAUGUUUAGCCAUGUGUGAGGCAGAGAAUAAUCAAAAUGGGAACUCGCAGAGCAUUCUUCAAGAUCUGCAAGACGCAACUCUAGGUUCUCUCUUGUCUUCUUUGAUGCAACAUUGUGAUCCUCCUCAGAGGAAGUACCCAUUGGAGAAGGGAAUUCCACCACCUUGGUGGCCUACUGGGAAUGAAGAUUGGUGGGUAAAAUUAGGGCUACCCCAUGGUCAGAGUCCUCCAUAUAAAAAGCCACAUGAUCUGAAAAAGAUGUGGAAAGUAGGGGUGUUAACAGCAGUGAUAAAGCAUAUGUCUCCUGAUAUAGCAAAGAUCAGGAGGCAUGUCCGUCAGUCAAAGUGCUUACAGGAUAAGAUGACUGCAAAGGAAAGUGCAAUCUGGUUGGGGGUUUUGAACCGGGAAGAAUCUCUCAUCCGGCAACCUAGCAGUGAUAAUGGAACCUCUGGGAUAACUGAAAUGCGUGUGGAUGGCAACGGUAAUAAGAAGCGACCUACCAUUAGUAGUAAUAGCAACUAUGAUGUUGAUGGUAUUGAUGAUGGUGUGGGUUCUGUCUCAUCCAAAGACAGCAGGGAAAAUCAACUGAUGGAUGUAGAGCCAGCAAGUGGUCUUGGCAAUUCCACACCCCCUCCUGGCCAAGAAAAUAGACGGCAACCAAAAAAGCGCAAGACAGGUGGACACCGCGGGAAACCAAGGCCUGCUAAUCAAGCGCCUAGAAUGUCUCACAAUGAGUGCCAACAUGAUGAGCCAAGAAGAACUUUGCCUGACAUAAAUGAUACUGAUAUACCCCUUAUUGAUUACAAUACACAUGAUAAUCAACAGGAAAACAUUGCAGUCACAGCAUUGAGGCCCCCAGACGUAGGUUUUGAGGGCUCAGCACCAAUAACAGCAUCUGGGUUCAACAAUUUGUCCCUUGUUCCUUCUGCCGGUCUUGUUUCUACGCAGAGCAUGUAUGUGGACGAAACGCCUAUGCUUUAUCCCAUGGUGCCAAAUGCUGAGUUACAACGUGUUGCUACUUAUGAUGUCUAUAAUCCAUCAUUUGAAGUGGGACCUGGUCAUGAUUUGACGCAUGGUCAGAUGGAUAUGAAUGUGUCACAGAUUAGGCCAAAGGUUGAUGGAGGCUAUGUAGAAGCAUUAGAUAGAAAUGAAAAUGGCAUUAGCACUGGUGGACUGGAACCUUAUAUUAAAGACACAUUUCAGAGUGAACCAGAAAGGCCUGUUGAUACAUUUGGACCUUCAAUUGAUAGCCCAUUGAUUGAUUUCGGUGGACUCAGCAGUCCAUUUUAUCCUGGAAUUGACGGCACAAGUAUUGAUGACCUCUUCUCUGAUAAUGACUACCUACAAUACUUUGGGGCAUGAUUUGCAAAUGGGCUGCAAAAACGUGGCACUCAUUGCUGACCUGGUUGAAGGACCUUUCCUUAGCCAUUGUUUUGUGAGUACAGAAAAAUGUUUCUUAGCUUUCCGGUGAGCUUCUUAUAUUGACUCCUAUGAAGAUAAGUGUUUUUCACUUGCAUUUUCUUUGGCUGUAAAAUCCUUUAAAUUGUAUAAAUUGUUCUGGUUUUUCUUCAUCAUUUACUUUAAUUCUGAACUGUCAGACAUGACCAAAGGAAGUAUAUUCUGACUUUUCUUUGAUUAAUAUAUAUAUCCAGAUUGUUUCAAACUCCGAAU